UCGCAGGAGAACCGGCAGGACGCCGGAGACCCCAUCUUCUGGUACCCAUUGCCCCAGCUCAGCUCCUCCCUGCGGAGGAGGCAGGAAGGACCGGAACGGCAGCCUCCGCAGCCCCGAGUCUCCGGAGGGGCGGCUGGACCUUCACCCUGCGGAGCGUCUGGGCGCCCAGAGCCCAGACUUACUCAUCUGGAAAACAUACCUGUGCUGAUCUCACAGAACUCUGGCAGGCUCCCCCAGAAGAUGGGGAUGCCCCCAGAUGGAGACAGGGAGACAAUGGGGAGAGGAAAGCGACGAAAACUAACCUUUCAACCAGACCAGGAGCCCCAAAUUGACAUCAGGAAGAGGAAAUGGAGUGGGCAUGAACAGAAAGAAGACACUUGGGGGCUCUGGAGAGGGCACUGAGCUGGGAUGGAGGAGGCUGUGUGAUGCUGGAUGUGGAAACUGAAGCCCUGCUCUGAAAUCAAGUGACCUGGAAUUGGGACCUGCCGGUCUAGCCAUGGAGUCUGAGGUCCUAACUUGCACACUCAGAGCGCCUGCCACCCUCUGGCAGCUGGAUGAUAGACCUUGGUGGGAGAAGGGCCUGCCGAACUUUCUCGAUGGGACAAGGGGGAACCGGCGGCCUUGGAAGGGAAAGGGUCACAGCCCAUGAGAUGGAGGCAGCAAACAGGCCUGCUGGGACAAAGUUCAAAUGAAAGGAUGGGGCUUCUGGACCAUGGACUUGGGAGGAAAAGGGGGUACAACUCCAGCUCCCUCUCUUAAGCAUCGACCACGAUCCAGGCAUGGAUCUGGAAGCCCCCACAGAUCAUCACAGAUCUGUGAGGUGAUCCUGGCAUUGUCCCAUUUCACAGAUGAGGGAACUGAGGCUAACGGGGAGCAGAGGCUGGACAGAUACCCAGGUGUUUUAACUCCCAGACCAGUGCCCCUUCCCAUCUCUGGUUGUUGUCAGAAGAGGGAGAGGGGCCGGUGGCCUGGUGGUAGCUAAAGGGGUUUUCCUGGUGAGAGCUGGAGGGUGGAUACCCCAGCUUCUUUCUCAGGAGGCAGUUGGAGGGAUUUGGGCUAGCUGCUGAGGCAGUGGCAUCAGCCAGUACUGGCUUUCUGGCCAGGCCUACUCCCAACUUGCUGUGUGACCCUCCAUGAAAGACUUUACCUCUCUGAGUCUCAGUUUCCUCAUCUGUGAAAUGGGGUCACAGUAAUCCCCCGACUCCCCCACUUCCUGGAGUUGUUGGGAAGACAAAAAGAGUGAAUGAUGGCCUGGGCCAGUACACCCUGGCACUUCUUGCUGAAGGAUGGAGGUGGUUCAGGCCAGGGGCAGACUGGCUUAAGUCAGGAAAACCCCGGGGCAGGCACACUGGGUGAAACUCGGGAGUCCCAGGCAUGGCCAGGGUGAGGCUGUGCUGCCGUGGUGGAGGGGCCUUGCUUGCGCCAGGCUAGCCCUGCCGUUGGCCCAGGCGCCAGGGUAGUUGCCGCAUCCCAGGGAGAAUGAAUGGGGCUCAGUGUGACCACUCAGUGUGGCGGCUCCGCUGAGCUCAGAGCCCUCUUUGUGCCGCCUCGAGUGGCCGUUGGGAGUGCGGCUGGGGACCUGCUGGCCGGUGGCUGUCCCCCGGGCCCUCCUCAGCCGGCGCUGGAGGCCAGCCCAACCCCACUCCGCAGCCCUGAACACACGAGCGCUUUCCAGCCUCAGGCCUUUGCUUGGGCUAGACCCACACUCGGAACGCACGCACCCCUCCACUGGCUCGUCUUUCUCUCCACUGAGUCCCUGUGGUCUAGACUGAGCCACAGGGCCCCAGGAACCCUGCUCUGAUUUCUAGCCCCUCCAUUCUCUCCUCCCCAAUCUAUGACAGAGGUGUCAGCAAUCUGGCCAAGGACGAUUAGAGACUGGAGCCUUUCAAUGUCAUAGUCACUGUACCCAGGCACACCUGAGUCCAGACGGCCACCUGCCUGACCUCAAGCAAGUCACAUCACCUCUCUGAGCGUCAUUGUUCCCAUCAAUAAAAUGGGACAAACUCAACAUCUCUCACACGAUCCUGUGGCUGUGAAAUAAGACGUCUACACUGAGAAUACUGUCU